rnacentral:rRNA from 1 species
UGAGCAAUCUGCCCUUCACAUCGGAAUAACCAUUGGAAACGAUGGCUAAUACCGAAUAUGACUUCGGAUCGCAUGAUCUGAAGUGGAAAGCUCCGGCGGUGAAGGAUGAGCUCGCGGCCUAUCAGCUUGUUGGUGAGGUAAUGGCUCACCAAGGCGACGACGGUAGCCGGCCUGAGGAGGGUGACCGGCCACACGUGGGACUGAGGCACCGGCCCAGACCUCCG